rnacentral:misc_RNA from 1 species
UUAUCUUUUUCUUUUAAGAAAAAAAAAGCUUUACAGUUUUGUUUUAAAGUUGGCGUGAUUUUAAUAUCAAAAUCGAUUGCUUUUAUUGGGGCAGACAAACAGAUGGUUUGAUGUUUGUAAAUUCAGAAGCAAACUUCAGAAAGGAAUCCUUGUUGGUAUUGAUGAAGCUUUUUCCUAUCGGGGAAAGUUUCCCUGUUAAUGGGAGGUCUCAUAUUCCAUUGCCUUUGGAGAGGCAUUGUUGCCAUUAUCCAUAGGGACUGACCAUGAUAGAUACAUUUUAUU